UCCGGUUUGUCACCGGCAGUCCCAUUAGAGUGCUCAACUGAAUGUAGCAACUAAUGGCAAGGGUUGCGCUCGUUGCGGGACUUAACCCAACAUCUCACGACACGAGCUGACGACAGCCAUGCAGCACCCGUGUUGCGGUUCCCUUUCGGGCACCCCUGCAUUUCUGCAGGGUUCCGCACAUGUCAAGGGUAGGUAAGGUGGGAUGACGUUCCUGUACCAUAGA
rnacentral:misc_RNA from 1 species